rnacentral:rRNA from 1 species
UACGUAGGGGGGCGAGCGUUGUCCGGAUUUAUUGGGCGUAAAGAGCUCGUAGGCGGUUCGAUAAGUCGGACGUGAAAUCUCCACGCUCAACGUGGAGGGGCCGUUCGAUACUGUCGUGACUCGAGUCCGGUAGGGGAGUGUGGAAUUCCCGGUGUAGCGGUGAAAUGCGCAGAUAUCAGGAAGAACACCAAUGGCGAAGGCGGGACUCUGGGCCGAUACUGACGCUGAGGAGCGAAAGCGUGGGGAGCAAACAGG